CUACCACCCACUCAUCAGUUAAUGACAACGGAGAACCGUUCAACUGAAUUCAUAAAGCUCAAAUACAUCUAGCUGUCUCAGAAGUCACACAAUGUUCUCAGUCUUCCUGUCUGUGCUUAUUUCCCUGUCCCUCUAUCUUACAGAGGAAGUGCUCUCAGCCCUCAUCAUCCAGCAGACCCCUCAGCAUCUUCUGGUGACGCCUGAACGCCAGCAGACACGGCUCGAUUGUCACCACGGCGACAACAGCUACCCUUACAUGCUGUGGUACCAACAAAGAGAUGGCCAGGGGACCAUGGAGCUGGUUGGGUUGCUACACUAUGAAAACGCAAACCUGGAGAAGAAAUUCCACUCAGGACGCUUCAACAUAACGGGCCACUCUAAGGGCAAGGCCGCCCUGGUCAUCUCCAACAUGGCCGCGGAUGACAAGGCUGUGUAUUUCUGUGCAGCAAGUCAGCACAGUGUUACAUCUCCGUUCCCUCUGUGA